rnacentral:lncRNA from 1 species
CCUAGGUAUACAAUAGGCAAAAGCAAGGGAUGUUUAAUUUGAAUUUCUAACUUAACAAUUGUUAUUAACAAACAAGGCUAUAAGCAAAUAUAAUUCUUCUUGAAAACAGUAAAAAACAAUAAAAUCUCACAUUUUUGUGAUUGUUACAUGUACAAUGUAUAACAAUAUUAGCACACACCUGUACUGUGAGGGUACCCAGUUUGCACCUAUUUUUAUGCCCCACCUACGAUAGUAGAGGGGCAUUAUGUUUUCUGGUCUGUGCGUCCGUUCGUCCGUCCGUCUGUCCGGCUCCAGGUUAAAGUUUUUGGUCAAGGUAGUUUUUGAUGAAGUUGAAGUCCAAUCGACUUCAAACUUUGUACACAUGUUCCCUAUGAUAUGAUCUUUCUAAUUUUAAUGCCAAAUUAGAGUUUUUACCCCAAUUUCACGGUCCACUGAACUUGGAAAAUGAUAGUGCGAAUGGGGCAUUCGUGUACUGAGGACACAUUCUUGUUGUACCAAAAUUGCCCUCAACAGCCAUAUGUCACACUGAACAACAUUCUGAUUUAUACAAACAUGUAAAAUGGUUUAAAAGAUACUUCAAACUAAUUUCAUUAAAAUUUGAGAUAGUAUUAAUAACCUUCAGGUUAUGAUCCUCCAAGUUAAACACAUCUGUUGGUAAAAUUGCAGAAGUGCCCAUGCAUAGGCAGCUUGUGAUAUUUAUGAAUUGGUUAAACAAGAAAAUAAUUUCUCCCAUCAAGUUUAUAAAGACUAUAAAGGCUGUUGAUAAUGUAUGAAUAGAUUUUCCAAAAUUUCCGUCUACAUAUUAUUUCUGUAACCUUGAUCCAAGACUCUAUAACCUAGGAUUUGUCCAACAGACAUUUUCCAGAUAAUUUUAUCGAAAGUCGAAAUUACAGUUCAUUAGACAACAUUCGAACAAAAAAAUGUCUUUCCCAUCUUAGUCUUUAACGAUAUUGCUACGAGAUGGGCCUUUGACAAAAAAAAGAUAAUUGAUGUUUCGUGAUUUUAUGGGGCAUUAUCAAAGUAAAGUUCGAAUAUAUAGUUAAAAAUGUAACGCAUAGAAACCAUCUUCACAAUAUCUGCUGUGAAAUUGUUCAAUCAUGUUCUUGGACCUACUGAUCCCCUAAAUAUAUAAGGAACUCCGUCAUCCCAUGCGUCAUUAUCCCAACAAAUUUGGUUAAAUUUGAAAGAAAAAUAUGAAGAAAAAUAUGGACAUUCCAAGGUAAAUUUAAAAAGGAAAGUCCAUAAAAAAACCUGAAAAAAAAAUCAAAUAUAGGACUGUCAAACAACGGAAAGAAUGGAAAACAUAUUUCUGACUUGGUACAGGCGUUUCCCGACGGAAAUAGUUGGUUUAACCAGGUUUUGUAGCUAGACAAACCUCUCACAUGUAUGAACAUUAUUUAUAGUUCCGUUAUAUAAACAAAAUUAAUGAAUAUGACAAUAAUUGGGAUCUAGCAGCAAAAACAUACACCACAGCCAUCAACACUACUGAAUAAAGAAUACAAAUAACAUACAAAUAAAUUUAAAAAAGAAGCCAACAAAAAUGUUGUUGUGGUUAAUAAAUGUGACAAAAAGCCAACACAAAAAAA